CCCCGCGCACGUUAAGGCCCCCCGGUUGUACGGUACCAGUGUUGGGCGUAACGCGUUACAAAAGUAACGCGUUACCGUAAUAUAUUACAUUUAGUCAGUAACGGAGUAAUAUAACGCGUUACUAACUAUAUUUCGGUAAUAUUAUUACAGUUACUGAGUCCGGUAACGCGUUACAAUCAUGGACAUAAUAAAGGAUGGACCACGGACUGGAAAGUGGCCGCCCAUUCAUUCCUAUACAAACUGCUCAGUGGCUCAGGGUAACAUACAGGAGCGAUUUGCUUCCGCGUUAUGCGGCCAAGACACGUGGCCUAGUCCGUGACGUACCGGAUGCAGAAAUAUAGAACGCAUGCGUGCCCAUCCCCCCACUCCGGUCCAACAACAAUAUAAAAUGAUACCGUAAUGCACAUGUUCUUUGUCUUUGGAUCUUUUGAAUAAAUGGAUCAAUACAUGAUGAAUCACAAUGAUCGCAAGCAGAGGACCGUGAGAGUUAUUGAGCAGCAGAUGAACCAGUUCAAAAAUCGGACACGUUAACGGAGCACUGAACUAGGCCCUCUUGGAUGCCAUUUGUUUCACUACGACUCCUUUCAACUGCACACCCCUCUUCCCCCGCGAGAUAAGGGCUAAUAAAACGCUUGAGGUGGCGUUUUGAGGACAUGGCAUGAAGAUGGUUCUACAUUGUCUGCAUUGGAUGGCAUAAACAACAUUGGUGGAAAGCAGCGAGAAGGUCUGCCAGAUGGGAGUUUGCCAAGUUGAAGAUGUAUUUGAGCAGAGAAGUUGGCCUGGUCGGAUGGAAAGAGAGCGGCUACUUCAUGCUUGAUAGUACGGAGAAAGCGUUUGGAGUAACCGCGGGGCCUAAGGGCCUCAAAAAGGGUCCUAGUAGCCUCCACUACAUGGUGAGGGAGGGAACAAAUACGAUGGAAGCGGAUAAGUUGGGAUUUGAUAAUAGAACGACAAGUGUGUCGGGGAUGGUAGCUGCUGCUAAAUAAUAAAGAAUGCCUGUCAGUGUCUUUGAAAUAUACUUUAGUGCCUAAUGUUUUGUAACCAUCUUUUACCUCAGUAAAGAAGACUAUGGUGUCCAAAAAGGGGACCUGCUGGAGAUGAAGAGUAUGUUUAAGUGUGAUACGGGGGUGGUGUGAACUAAGAAUGUGAAUAAAGUGAUUUAAUUCUGUCUCGGAUUUAUCCCAUAAGCCAAAAAUGUCAUCAAGGUACCGAUAAUAUAGGAGCGGACGUGACGGGCAUUUGAGAACAGCUGAUUCUUCCCAGUCAGCCAAAUAGAUGUCUGCAUAGGCCGGUGAAUAUUUUCUACCCAUAGUGCAACCGCUUAUUUGGAGGAAAAAAGAUUUAUCAAACAGAAAAUCGUUCUGGGUAAGGGUAAGCUGUAAAAAUUG
rnacentral:lncRNA from 1 species